GACGAACGCUGGCGGCGUGCUUAACACAUGCAAGUCGUACGGUAAGGCCCUUUCGUUGGUACUCGAGCGGCGAACGGGGGAGUAACACGAACGUAACCAUCCCACACCUAUGGGAUAAGGCUAGGUAACUGGAACUGAUACUGAUAAUGUACUCCUUCUUCAUGGGGGGGGUUGGAUAGUUCCGGCGGGUGUGGAUGGACUCGCGGCCUAUCAGCUUGUUGGUGGGGUAGUGGCCUACCAAGGCGGCGAAGGGUGGCCGGCCUGAGAGGGUGACCGGCCACAGUGGGACUGAGAUACGGCCCAGACUCCUACGGGAGGCAGCAGUGGGGAAUAUUGCACAAUGGGCGCAAGCCUGAUGCAGCAACGCCGCGUGCGGGAUGACGGCCUUCGGGUUGUAAACCGCUUUCAGCAGGGACGAAGCUUUUUGUGACGGUACCUGCAGAAGAAGCACCGGCUAACUACGUG
rnacentral:rRNA from 1 species